UGCUGAAACAUCGGAUCGGAUUUCGGAUCUGCGAUCGGCGUGUGCGCCAGCCGGUCCGAUUUCGAAUUCGCCGUCAUAUGCGACUGUUUGAUCUGACUGGCGAACGAAGAAACAAAUUCACGGUUCAAGAACUUCUCGACCCGCAUCACCGGGGUCGGAAACAAUCCAAUGAUCUGGCUCACAAUCCUGACUCACACAACUUGGCUCACCGCGCAGACAGCGCAAAGGCAAAGCCGUUUGACUUGCCUUGCCACGGGAAGG
rnacentral:misc_RNA from 1 species